rnacentral:rRNA from 1 species
GAUGAACGCUGGCGACGUGCCUAAUACAUGCAAGUCGAGCGAACAGACGAGGAGCUUGCUCCUCUGACGUUAGCGGCGGACGGGUGAGUAACACGUGGAUAACCUACCUAUAAGACUGGGAUAACUUCGGGAAACCGGAGCUAAUACCGGAUAAUAUAUUGAACCGCAUGGUUCAAUAGUGAAAGACGGUUUUGCUGUCACUUAUAGAUGGAUCCGCGCCGCAUUAGCUAGUUGGUAAGGUAACGGCUUACCAAGGCAACGAUGCGUAGCCGACCUGAGAGGGUGAUCGGCCACACGGGAACGGAGACACGGUCCAGACUCCUACGGGAGGCAGCAGUAGGGAAUCUUCCGCAAUGGGCGAAAGCCUGACGGAGCAACGCCGCGUGAGUGAUGAAGGUCUUCGGAGCGUAAAACUCUGUUAUUAGGGAAGAACAAAUGUGUAAGUAACUAUGCACGUCUUGACGGUACCUAAUCAGAAAGCCACGGCUAACUACGUG